CUACGGGUUGCUGCAGUGAGGAAUAUUGCACAAUGGGGGGAACCCUGAUGCAGCAACGCCGCGUGGAGGAUGACGCAUUUCGGUGUGUAAACUCCUUUUAUAUGUCAAGAAAAUGACGGUAGCAUAUGAAUAAGCACCGGCUAACUCCGUGCCAGCAGCCGCGGUAAUACGGAGGGUGCAAGCGUUACUCGGAAUUACUGGGCGUAAAGGACACGUAGGCGGGUGGGAAAGUCAGGUGUGAAAUCCUACAGCUUAACUGUAGAACUGCACUUGAAACUUCUAAUCUAGAGUAUGGGAGGGGAGAUGGAAUUAGUGGUGUAGGGGUAAAAUCCGUAGAUAUCACUAGGAAUACCUAAAGCGAAGGCGAUCUCCUGGAACAUUACUGACGCUAAGGCGUGAAAGCGUGGGGAGCAAACAGGAUUAGAUACCCUCGUAGUC
rnacentral:rRNA from 1 species